CAGACUCGGCCAGAAACAUGAUGCUGACGGGGAUCGGGGGCUUCGUGUUGGGGCUGGUCUUCCUGGCGCUGGGACUGCUCAACUACCUGAGGAACAAGAAAGGCCGCCCCGUUCCCCAGCCAACAGGGCUCCUCAGUUAGAUCCUGCAGCUUCGGGGCCUGCAUUGCCCAGCGUGAUUCUCCAGCCCCGUCUCCUGGCACCUGUCCCUGUGUCUGGAGCUCUUCUCACUUUCCCUCCAUCCUCACCUGGAUCCUGGGGCUGACUCCUCAGAAUUAACCCUUUAUCUGCCUAAGCCUGCGCCACAUCUGCACUCAGAAAUGCUACUGCUUUUGGGGGACAUUCAGGGGACUCUGAUCUGAGACACGGGGAGCUGUAACAAGGCCAUUUCCAGCAGUUGUCACAGCCCUUUGGGACGAGACUCCCGUGGGCCCCAACUUAAGCUAAUAUGCCCCAGGAAGGACCAGUAUCACCCUAAGACUGAGCGGUGGAAACAUGUUGUUAGGAAAGGACAGGAUGGAGGAGCCCAGUGAUACCCAGGUAACACAUGUCCUACCCUUGGGCCAGGGCAGUCCCGGGGGGUCUCUGAGCUUGUAGCCACCUUGUUACAGUUGAGAUCUGGUAAGCCUGGCCUGGGGUCCCAAGGUGUCCCAUGGGGCUGUUGGACAGAAGCAGGUGGGGGUUGAGUCAGGUGCCUUGAGACAUGUGCUGGAGCUUGUGCUAUUGUAAUUGCUCCUGCUGCUGCUCUGGAUCACUCCUUGGGGACUGGAAAGGAGCAGGUUUCUGUCCUGCUGGGGGGGUGAUGGUGUUUCUGACCAAUAACUUGUCUCACCAGUGUCUGCGGUGUGUUGAGCUCUCCCUUUUCAGAGCUCCUUUGGUGCCAUACCCUCAGGGUACACCCCAGAGCUCUGGACAGGCCGUCCUGGGCUCCCCAGCAGCAGGUGCCAGCAGAGACAGUCCCUGGGGCCGUGCCCUGAGGGCUCUCAACUGCCUUUGGAGGAUAUCAGCUACUGGGAGUGGGAGCUUGGGAAGGGGCUGAAUGUGCAGGUGAGAAUAGACCUUUUUGUUGAAUGUGCUAAUGGCAAACCAGGCCUCGUGUCCCUGCACGGUCACAAUAGACUCUUCUGGCCAGCAGCCAGCUCUUUCCCAUGCUUUUGGCUGGAGUCAGUUUUAGCACAAAUGGGAUAAAGGGUGUGAUCCCCUAAGUGGGACAAAAUUCCUCUGCUCAGAGGUGGCAAGGUCUGAGGGAGACAGGUGUUGCUAAGACACGUGGCACUGAGGAUCUGGCUCCUUUUGCCACUCUCAGCUUGUUCCUUGUGGUGAAGCAGGGAGGGGUUUGGGGCUGAGGGACUCCUCUGCAUGUGGAAGGACCCCCCAGAGUGUCACACAGAGGAUGGUACUAGGGGAAGGUGAAGCGCCUUCGAGCCAGAGGUGAGGGCAGGGAUCAUGCUGGGAUCCAGGAACGUGGGUAGCCCAUCCCAGUGAGAUGCCUAGGGCCCAAGGGCUGGGCUGGGGUUUGUGACCUAAAAGAGCAGCUCCCUGUGGCGCAGGAAGGAGCCCUGGUUGUGAGAACGACCCCUUCCCCAUCCCCAUUCCCAGUCCCACCAGGGCAAGGUUUCAGCACCACUUGCACAGCUGGGUCUGUUUGUGAUCGCUGCAUCUUGUGUCAGUGGACCAUCUGCCAUGUCCUGCUCUGCACCUGAAAGGCACUGGUGUCACCCCAUCCUUCUUGCAAAGCUCAAGCUAGUGAUCCUUCCGUGAACGGUGUGGAGACCCAGGCCCCCGAGAUUUCCUGGAAUUCCCCACUGGAUGCAGUCUUUGUCCAGUCCUGCACCAGUCGUGAGGCCCAGGGCAGCUGUAUCACUGGUUACAGCAUGAUGAUGCUACUGGGGGAGUAAGACUACACAGUAUGCUGUCCUCCUGCCUUCCCAGGCAAGAGCCAGGGAGAUCCCUGAGCUGGGAGAGACCCUCAUUUGGCUGGGGGAGAGCUGACAGCUGGAUCCUGCUUCAGUUCAACCCUGACCCUGCACUUCACCACCCACUACAGCUGGCUACCCUGUCCCUGGUACCCUCUGAGACUCCAUAUUCCUGCAUUUCCACGUG